AACGAACGCUGGCGGCAUGCCUAACACAUGCAAGUCGAACGAGACCUUCGGGUCUAGUGGCGCACGGGUGCGUAACGCGUGGGAACCUGCCUUUAGGUUCGGAAUAACUCAGAGAAAUUUGAGCUAAUACCGGAUGAUGUCUUCGGACCAAAGAUUUAUCGCCUUUAGAUGGGCCCGCGUAAGAUUAGCUAGUUGGUGGGGUAAAGCCUACCAAGGCGACGAUCUUUAGCUGGUCUGAGAGGAUGAUCAGCCACACUGGGACUGAGACACGGCCCAGACUCCUACGGGAGGCAGCAGUGGGGAAUAUUGGGACAAUGGGCGAAAGCCUGAUCCAGCAAUGCCGCGUGAGUGAU
rnacentral:rRNA from 1 species